AUUGAACGCUGGCGGAAUGCUUUACACAUGCAAGUCGAACGGUAACAGGUCUUCGGAUGCUGACGAGUGGCGAACGGGUGAGUAAUGUAUCGGAACGUGCCCAGUCGUGGGGGAUAACGUAGCGAAAGUUACGCUAAUACCGCAUACGAUCUAUGGAUGAAAGCGGGGGAUCGCAAGACCUCGCGCGAUUGGAGCGGCUGAUAUCAGAUUAGGUAGUUGGUGGGGUAAAGGCUCACCAAGCCAACGAUCUGUAGCUGGUCUGAGAGGACGACCAGCCACACUGGAACUGAGACACGGUCCAGACUCCUACGGGAGGCAGCAGUGGGGAAUUUUGGACAAUGGACGCAAGUCUGAUCCAGCCAUUCCGCGUGCAGGAUGAAGGCCCUCGGGUUGUAAACUGCUUUUGUACGGAACGAAAAGGUCUCUAUUAAUACUAGGGGCUCAUGACGGUACCGUAAGAAUAAGCACCGGCUAACUACGUGCCAGCAGCCGCCGCGGUAA
rnacentral:rRNA from 1 species